GCGCACGCUGGCGGCGUGCUUAACACAUGCCAGUCGAACGGAAAGGCCCUGCUUUUGUGGGGUGCUCGAGUGGCGAACGGGUGAGUAACACGUGAGUAACCUGCCCUUGACUUUGGGAUAACUUCAGGAAACUGGGGCUAAUACCGGAUAGGAGCUCCUGCUGCAUGGUGGGGGUUGGAAAGUUUCGGCGGUUGGGGAUGGACUCGCGGCUUAUCAGCUUGUUGGUGGGGUAGUGGCUUACCAAGGCUUUGACGGGUAGCCGGCCUGAGAGGGUGACCGGCCACAUUGGGACUGAGAUACGGCCCAGACUCCUACGGGAGGCAGCAGUGGGGAAUAUUGCACAAUGGGCGGAAGCCUGAUGCAGCAACGCCGCGUGCGGGAUGACGGCCUUCGGGUUGUAAACCGCUUUCGCCUGUGACGAAGCGUGAGUGACGGUAAUGGGUAAAGAAGCACCGGCUAACUACGUG
rnacentral:rRNA from 1 species